rnacentral:snRNA from 2 species
GUGCUAGCUUCGGCAGCACAUAUACUAAAAAUUGGAAUGAUACAGAGAAGAUUAGCAUGGCCUCUGUGCAAGGAUGACAUGCAAAUACGUGAAGCAUUCCAUAUUUUU